AUGCCCCGUGCUCGCAGGCCUCGCCGUGAAUGGUCGGACGGCGUCCCGCCCGAGCUUCUUGGCGUCAUCUUCCUCGACCUGGCCUGCCUCGCCGACCGUGUCUGCUUCGCUGCCGUCUGCCGCGCGUGGCGCUCUGUCGCGCGGGCUGUUGGCGCCCCGCCGGCGCCGCGCCAGCUCCCGUGGCUCCUCCUCCCGUCCCCCGACAAGCCCUCCUUCUUCAGCCUCCACUCGGGGGCCAAACGCCGCCUACGCCUCCCGGAGAGCAUACGCGGCGCGCGCUUGUGUGGCUCCUAUGAUGGCGGUUGGGUCGCUCUAGCCUUCGAGCAGUGGCGAGGGUAUGCGGCCGUCAACCUUCUCUCCGGCGCGACGGUUCUUCUCCCCGACAGGCUCAGGACUGCCCACCCGCUCGCUCCCCAGGCGAACACCUCCUGCGAGCACCACAUGGUCAUCCGCACCAUCACUUUCUCGGGGUCACCCUCAGCAGAGGACUGCCUUGCCGCCGCGCAUGUCUCCAGCGCCUCCAACAUCGCGUUCUGGCGGCCGGGAAUGAAAGAGCACUGGAUCACUUGCGGUGUCGCGGUGGCUCUGGAUGUGAUCCAGGACAUCAUCUAUUACGAGAAUGGGCUGAAGCAAGGUUUCCAUGUCCUGUCAAAUACUGAGGACAUAGUUGUGUACACGCCCAACAGCGUCGAGGGUGCCUCUCUGGUGAUGUCCCGUUCCUCCUACCAGAUCCAGAAGCGCGCUGAUUACAGGCCUGAUAAUCUCAGGCGCAAGUCGCGCACAGUGUCCCGCUAUCUGGUGGAGUCCCGCGGGAAAUUGCUAAUGGUCCUGCGGCUUGCCAGGCGUGGCAAGAAUGGGUUCAGAAUCUUUGAGAUGAACCUUGCGGUUGCUCCCGCUGGGGGCUCUGAAGCUUCUUGGGUGGAGCUCCACUCACUUCCUGGCCGGGUGCUCUUGCUUGGUCGAGGCUGCUCUAGGGCUGUUGAGGUCUCUCAGUUCAAUAGGCUCCAACUGGGUAGCAUCUAUUACUUGGACGAUACUAGCUUCGACAUAUCCUUGGCGUUAAGCAGUGGGAGUAAGUAUUCCAGUACUGACAUGGGUGUUUAUGGUCGCAAAACACUAAAUGGGGCGCGUAGUGUGCGUCGCUUUCCGCGAAAAUUUACUUCAGAGGGCUCCCCACCAAUCUGGUUUAUGCCCUGA
rnacentral:rRNA from 1 species